UACGGAGGAGGCAAGCGUUAUCCGGAAUUAUUGGGCGUAAAGCGUCUGCAGGUGGCGAUUCAAGUCUGCGGUUAAAGACUGGGGCUUAACCCUGGAAAGGCCGUGGAAACUGAAACGCUAGAGUGCAGUAGGGGUAGAGGGAAUUCCCGGUGUAGCGGUGAAAUGCGUAGAGCUCGGGAAGAACAUCGGUGGCGAAAGCGCUCUGCUGGACUGCAACUGACACUCAGAGACGAAAGCUAGGGGAGCGAAUGGG
rnacentral:rRNA from 1 species